GUCAGAAUGGCCGAGCGGUCUAAGGCGCCAGACUCAAGCUCAUAACUUGCCGGGUGUCCCGGUAGCAUAGAAUUCUGGUCUUCGAUAGAAGGCGUGGGUUUAAAUCCCACUUCUGACA
rnacentral:tRNA from 1 species